GAUGAACGCUGGCGGCGUGCCUAAUACAUGCAAGUCGAACGCACAGCGAAAGGUGCUUGCACCUUUCAAGUGAGUGGCGAACGGGUGAGUAACACGUGGACAACCUGCCUCAAGGCUGGGGAUAACAUUUGGAAACAGAUGCUAAUACCGAAUAAAACUUAGUGUCGCAUGACACAAAGUUAAAAGGCGCUUUGGCGUCACCUAGAGAUGGAUCCGCGGUGCAUUAGUUAGUUGGUGGGGUAAAGGCCUACCAAGACAAUGAUGCAUAGCCGAGUUGAGAGACUGAUCGGCCACAUUGGGACUGAGACACGGCCCAAACUCCUACGGGAGGCUGCAGUAGGGAAUCUUCCACAAUGGGCGAAAGCCUGAUGGAGCAACGCCGCGUGUGUGAUGAAGGCUUUCGGGUCGUAAAGCACUGUUGUAUGGGAAGAACAGCUAGAAUAGGAAAUGAUUUUAGUUUGACGGUACCAUACCAGAAAGGGACGGCUAAAUACGUGCCAGCAGCCGCGGUAAUACGUAUGUCCCGAGCGUUAUCCGGAUUUAUUGGGCGUAAAGCGAGCGCAGACGGUUUAUUAAGUCUGAUGUGAAAGCCCGGAGCUCAACUCCGGAAUGGCAUUGGAAACUGGUUAACUUGAGUGCAGUAGAGGUAAGUGGAACUC
rnacentral:rRNA from 1 species